rnacentral:rRNA from 1 species
GCAUAACGCGAAGAACCUUACCAGGUCUUGACAUCCUAGAAACUUUCCAGAGAUGGAUUGGUGCCUUCGGGAAUCUAGAGACAGGUGCUGCAUGGCUGUCGUCAGCUCGUGUCGUGAGAUGUUGGGUUAAGUCCCGCAACGAGCGCAACCCUCGUCACUAGUUACUAACGGUUCGGCCGAGGACUCUAGUGAGACUGCCUUCGUAAGGAGGAGGAAGGUGAGGACGACGUCAAGUCAUCAUGGCCCUUACGGCCAGGGCGACACACGUGCUACAAUGGGAUGUACAAUGAGACGCAAUACCGCGAGGUGGAGCAAAUCUAUAAAACAUCUCUCAGUUCGGAUUGUAGUCUGCAACUCGACUACAUGAAGCUGGAAUCACUAGUAAUCGUAGAUCAGCCAUGCUACGGUGAAUACGUUCCCGGGUCUUGUACACACCG